GAGAUGAUUGCCUUAAACGUUUUAACAUUCAUUUCUGUCAACGAUGAAUGUCUAAAAUUAUUGAGCACCCAUACUGAAAUACCAGCAACAGAAAAGGAUUUUGGACUUGAUCCUCAAUUAGAAGCUAGUGGAAUAACUUUCUCAUAAUGCGGGAUGUCAUCUUUAUGAAAUAGGAUUUAAUAUAAGAUAUAUUUGCUUUUAUUUAGUCUAAUUGAAAAUAUUUACUGCAUUUAUGUGCAGAUACAGGUAUAUUGACAAACUUCUUUUCACCAGAAGUGAACUAUACUGUAUGUUAGAAUAUACUUAAAAUAUUAUAACAAGCCUGACUGACAUCUUAUGUAAAUAUUGCAUGGGUAGUACAUGUAUCUCUGACUCUCUGAUUUGAUGAGUAGCCUACGAUGUACAAUUGGGCUAUUUUCUUUGCACUGCUAAUCAACAUUUUCAUCAAUAGCAACGCGAUUUUGAAUUUGCACUGCAUUGUGAUCUACCGAGGGUAAGGGAAUUCUACCGUUGCAGGGGAAUUCUUUAGAAUAGUUACUAAUACAGCAGGCAUGCAAGAUACUGUCAUUUGCGUCUACGAAUAGACAGUUGUACGUAAAAAGCUAAAAGCAUUGUCUUUACAUCAGCCAAACAGCUUGAGGUAAAAUGAGGGCUAUAUAUUAAGCGUAAUUAGCUAGUCAGAUUAGAAUCUUUUCCUUACAAACAUGGGUCAGAUCAGGGAAACCUUUAUUGCAUGUUAUCCGCAUCUGUUCAUCCUUUAUAGGCUUUUGUGCAAACGACCGUAGUAAAAGCGAAUCCUCUCCAGGCUUUUGUGAGCUAAGUAAAGCGCUACAGUGCUCCUGAAAUUGAUCUAUACUUUGUCAAUCUUUUUUACCAUUUUCACCGUGUGGUGCCAGGUUUUAAUUUGGCGCCGCUUCGAAAGCUGGUCAGCCUAUAGCAUAGCCAUAGGUUAGUGUAAAACUUGAAAGCAAGCUUCCCAAUAGCUUGUAUUUAAAAAUACAAACUCUUAGAAAUAUUUUUCGAGAUAUCUUGUCUGCAUUAAAAGUUUUAUUUUUCUAGUAAGGUUAGAACAGAUCGACGUGCAGAAACCAAAACAGCUGGUUAAAUGUUAACCUAGGUUCGCGCGUUAAUCGUGCUUUGAACAACCGCCCCCUAGUUUUAACAUGCCAUUGGCUAGACCGCAAUGCAUCGCGCUUCAAGAUGGAGUUGCUAUUAAUGAAAGCGUUUCUUGCGGCUUAUUAGUUCAUUAUUAUUAUUAUUAUAAGUCUUUAUUUAAUCACAAGAUAAAGAUACAUAUCUUAUGUUACAUUUUCAAGAAUGGAAUACUACACUAAAUUAUAUUUAAAAAUUAGUAUAUUUACAAAUGUGGUCUUAAAACGCUGCGUGUUAAUUUUGGGAUAAAGGCAUCGUUUCUUACGUAGAUUAAAAGGUAC